rnacentral:rRNA from 1 species
GAUGAACGCUAGCUGGAGGCUUAAUACAUGCAAGUCGAGCGGGAUUGGGUAGCAAUACCCAUGAGAGCGGCGCACGGGUGAGUAACGCGUACACGACCUACCUCUAACAGGGGGAUAGCCCUGGGAAACUGGGAUUAAUACCGCAUAUAAUUCUGAAUAAUAAAGGUUUGGAAUGAAAGCUGAGGCGGUUAGAGAUGGGUGUGCGUCUGAUUAGCUAGUUGGUAGGGUAACGGCCUACCAAGGCGAUGAUCAGUUGGGGGCGUGAGAGCGUGGUCCCCCACACGGGUACUGAGACACGGACCCGACUCCUACGGGAGGCAGCAGUAAGGAAUAUUGGUCAAUGGGCGAAAGCCUGAACCAGCCAUCCAGCGUGCAGGAAGAAGGCCCUAUGGGUUGUAAACUGCUUUUAUCAGGGAAGAAACCUCUGGAUUUACUCCGGAGCUGACGGUACCUGAAGAAUAAGCACCGGCUAACUCUGUGCCAGCCGCCGCUGUAA